rnacentral:rRNA from 1 species
AUUGAACGCUGGCGGCAUGCUUUACACAUGCAAGUCGAACGGCAGCGCGGGCUUCGGCCUGGCGGCGAGUGGCGAACGGGUGAGUAAUACAUCGGAACGUGCCCAGAAGUGGGGGAUAGCUCGGCGAAAGCCGGAUUAAUACCGCAUACGACCUGAGGGUGAAAGCGGGGGAUCUUCGGGCCUCGCGCUAUUGGAGCGGCCGAUGGCAGAUUAGCUAGUUGGUGGGGUAAAGGCCUACCAAGGCGACGAUCUGUAGCUGGUCUGAGAGGACGACCAGCCACACUGGGACUGAGACACGGCCCAGACUCCUACGGGAGGCAGCAGUGGGGAAUUUUGGACAAUGGGCGAAAGCCUGAUCCAGCAAUGCCGCGUGUGUGAUGAAGGCCUUCGGGUUGUAAAGCACUUUUGGCGGGAACGAAAAGGACUGUGCCAAUACCACGGUUCGAUGACGGUACCCGCAGAAUAAGCACCGGCUAACUACGUG